UUAAGCGACUAAGCGUACACGGUGGAUGCCCUGGCAGUCAGAGGCGAUGAAGGACGUGCUAAUCUGCGAAAAGCGUCGGUAAGGUGAUAUGAACCGUUAUAGCCGGCGAUGUCCGAAUGGGGAAACCCAGUGCAAUUCGUUGCACUAUCGUUAACUGAAUACAUAGGUUAACGAGGCGAACCGGGGGAACUGAAACAUCUAAGUACCCCGAGGAAAAGAAAUCAACCGAGAUUCCCCCAGUAGCGGCGAGCGAACGGGGAGCAGCCCAGAGUCUGAAUCAGCUUGUGUGUUAGUGGAACGGUCUGGAAAGUCCGACGGUACAGGGUGAUAGUCCCGUACACCAAAAUGCACAGGCUGUGAACUCGAAGAGUAGGGCGGGACACGUGGUAUCCUGUCUGAAUAUGGGGGGACCAUCCUCCAAGGCUAAAUACUCCUGACUGACCGAUAGUGAACCAGUACCGUGAGGGAAAGGCGAAAAGAACCCCGGCGAGGGGAGUGAAAAAGAACCUGAAACCGUGUACGUACAAGCAGUGGGAGCACCUUCGGGUGUGACUGCGUACCUUUUGUAUAAUGGGUCAGCGACUUAUAUUCUGUAGCAAGGUUAACCGUAUAGGGGAGCCGCAGGGAAACCGAGUCUUAACUGGGCGUUAAGUUGCAGGGUAUAGACCCGAAACCCGGUGAUCUAGCCAUGGGCAGGUUGAAGGUUGGGUAACACUAACUGGAGGACCGAACCGACUAAUGUUGAAAAAUUAGCGGAUGACUUGUGGCUGGGGGUGAAAGGCCAAUCAAACCGGGAGAUAGCUGGUUCUCCCCGAAAGCUAUUUAGGUAGCGCCUCGUGAACUCAUCUUCGGGGGUAGAGCACUGUUUCGGCUAGGGGGUCAUCCCGACUUACCAACCCGAUGCAAACUACGAAUACCGAAGAAUGUUAUCACGGGAGACACACGGCGGGUGCUAACGUCCGUCGUGAAGAGGGAAACAACCCAGACCGCCAGCUAAGGUCCCAAAGUCAUGGUUAAGUGGGAAACGAUGUGGGAAGGCACAGACAGCCAGGAUGUUGGCUUAGAAGCAGCCAUCAUUUAAAGAAAGCGUAAUAGCUCACUGGUCGAGUCGGCCUGCGCGGAAGAUGUAACGGGGCUAAACCAUGCACCGAAGCUGCGGCAGCGACACUAUGUGUUGUUGGGUAGGGGAGCGUUCUGUAAGCCUGCGAAGGUGACCUGUGAGGCAUGCUGGAGGUAUCAGAAGUGCGAAUGCUGACAUAAGUAACGAUAAAGCGGGUGAAAAGCCCGCUCGCCGGAAGACCAAGGGUUCCUGUCCAACGUUAAUCGGGGCAGGGUGAGUCGACCCCUAAGGCGAGGCCGAAAGGCGUAGUCGAUGGGAAACAGGUUAAUAUUCCUGUACUUGGUGUUACUGCGAAGGGGGGACGGAGAAGGCUAUGUUAGCCGGGCGACGGUUGUCCCGGUUUAAGCAUGUAGGCUGAUUAUCCAGGCAAAUCCGGAUAAUCAAGGCUGAGGUGUGAUGACGAGGCACUACGGUGCUGAAGUAACAAAUGCCCUGCUUCCAGGAAAAGCCUCUAAGCAUCAGGUAACAUUAAAUCGUACCCCAAACCGACACAGGUGGUCAGGUAGAGAAUACCAAGGCGCUUGAGAGAACUCGGGUGAAGGAACUAGGCAAAAUGGUGCCGUAACUUCGGGAGAAGGCACGCUGGUGUGUAGGUGAAGUCCCUGCGGAUGGAGCUGAGACCAGUCGAAGAUACCAGCUGGCUGCAACUGUUUAUUAAAAACACAGCACUGUGCAAACACGAAAGUGGACGUAUACGGUGUGACGCCUGCCCGGUGCCGGAAGGUUAAUUGAUGGGGUUAUCCGUAAGGAGAAGCUCUUGAUCGAAGCCCCGGUAAACGGCGGCCGUAACUAUAACGGUCCUAAGGUAGCGAAAUUCCUUGUCGGGUAAGUUCCGACCUGCACGAAUGGCGUAAUGAUGGCCAGGCUGUCUCCACCCGAGACUCAGUGAAAUUGAACUCGCUGUGAAGAUGCAGUGUACCCGCGGCAAGACGGAAAGACCCCGUGAACCUUUACUAUAGCUUGACACUGAACAUUGAGCCUUGAUGUGUAGGAUAGGUGGGAGGCUUUGAAGCGUGGACGCCAGUCUGCGUGGAGCCAACCUUGAAAUACCACCCUUUAAUGUUUGAUGUUCUAACGUUGGCCCCUGACCGGGGUUGCGGACAGUGUCUGGUGGGUAGUUUGACUGGGGCGGUCUCCUCCCAAAGCGUAACGGAGGAGCACGAAGGUUAGCUAAUCCUGGUCGGACAUCAGGAGGUUAGUGCAAUGGCAUAAGCUAGCUUGACUGCGAGCGUGACGGCGCGAGCAGGUGCGAAAGCAGGUCAUAGUGAUCCGGUGGUUCUGAAUGGAAGGGCCAUCGCUCAACGGAUAAAAGGUACUCCGGGGAUAACAGGCUGAUACCGCCCAAGAGUUCAUAUCGACGGCGGUGUUUGGCACCUCGAUGUCGGCUCAUCACAUCCUGGGGCUGAAGUAGGUCCCAAGGGUAUGGCUGUUCGCCAUUUAAAGUGGUACGCGAGCUGGGUUUAGAACGUCGUGAGACAGUUCGGUCCCUAUCUGCCGUGGGCGCUGGAGAAUUGAGGGGGGCUGCUCCUAGUACGAGAGGACCGGAGUGGACGCAUCACUGGUGUUCGGGUUGUCAUGCCAAUGGCACUGCCCGGUAGCUAAAUGCGGAAGAGAUAAGUGCUGAAAGCAUCUAAGCACGAAACUUGCCCCGAGAUGAGUUCUCCCUGAGACUUUAAGUC
rnacentral:rRNA from 1 species